GGAGGGUGCAAGCAUUAAUCGGAUUUAUUGGGCGUAAAGAGCGCGUAGGCGGUUUUGUAAGUCAAGUGUGAAAUUCUGGGGGGGCUCAACUCCAGAACUGCAUUAGAAACUGCAUGACUUGAGGAUAGGCGGAGGAAACGGAAUUCCACGUGUAGCGGUGAAAUGCGUAGAUAUGUGGAAGAACACCGGUGGCGAAGGCGGUUUCCUAGCUUAUUCCUGACGCUGAGGCGCGAAAGCAAGGGUAGCGAACAGGAUUAGAUACCCUGGUAGUCCUUGCCGUAAACGAUGCAUACUAGAUGUAGUUGGACUCAAUCCCGACUGUGUCGAAGCUAACGCAAUAAGUAUGCCGCCUGGGGAGUACGCUCGCAAGGGUA
rnacentral:rRNA from 1 species